UGUUUUAUUCGGAUUUACGGUCACGGAGGAGAAGAAAUGGAUCCCAGGCUCCGAGCGGUGGAGAAGGCUCUCUGGCUCUUGUCCUGGGCGCUGCGGUGGCUGCCGACCUCACAGUGACCUGAAGGGAAACUGCUUAAUCCUGCCACUGGCUCUUGAACUCCACCCCUUCACUGUAUAAUUAUCCCUACACAGCUCAUGGCAUUGUAAUUAUCUUAAUGAGCGUACGAGACUUUUCGAAUUAAUGGAAAACCAUUUUGUGUGUUUUUUUAGUCACAAAUAAGGCGCACAGGCAGCCCGGAGUCAACAGCUGUGGGACGUCGGCAAGUCGGAUAUGCAGUCAAAAAGCUCUUGGUGACUCUGGAGGAGCUGCACAGAUCCACAGCUCAGGUGGGAGAAUUUGAAACCAGGACAUGUUUCAGUAUUGCGCUCCUCAAAUCUGGAUGUUAUGGAAGUGUGACCAGAAGAAAGCUGUUGAUGAACGAAAGCUCCUUGAAGUUCUUAGAAGGUGGUGGCGGCAUCAUCCUGUGGGAAUGUUUGUCUUCAGCAAGAACCGACAGAUGCAGCUACUCACAGGUUAGUACUGCAAGAAAAAGUAUCAGAGGCGGGAAAAAAUCUGAGACUUGGGUGGAGGUUUACCUUCCAGCAGGAAAAUGACCCAAACUAUACAGCCAGAACUACCCUGGAGUUGUUUAAAUCUGAGUAUGGCCUAGUCAAAGCAGAUUCAAAAGUGUUCAUGCUGUCCAUUCAGUCUGACUGAGCUUGAGCUAUUUAGCAAAGCAGAAUGGGCAAAACUUUCAGUCUGUGAAUGAGUGAAGCUGAUAGACGGUUCUGUCAUGCAAUAAGAACCCAAAUGCAGACGAACACUGUGGUGAAAAAUGAAGAAGAUAAUUAAAAUAAACGACUUAAGAAGAGCAAAUACGGAUAAGGCAGGGCAUGGAAGCAGACUGACAGGAGCCAGAGACAAACACUGGACAUCCAGGAGCCAAACUACU